rnacentral:rRNA from 1 species
UACGUAGGGGGCGAGCGUUGUCCGGAAUUACUGGGCGUAAAGGGUGAGUAGGCGGUUUGUUAAGUUGGAUGUGAAAUCCCCGGGCUUAACUCGGGACCUGCAUUCAAAACUGGCAGACUAGAGUGUCGGAGAGGAAAGCGGAAUUCCUGGUGUAGCGGUGAAAUGCAUAGAUAUCAGGAGGAACACCGGUGGCGAAGGCGGCUUUCUGGACGAUAACUGACGCUGAGGCACGAAAGCGUGGGGAGCAAAC